rnacentral:rRNA from 1 species
ACCUACGGGGGGCAGCAGUGGGGAAUAUUGGACAAUGGGCGCAAGCCUGAUCCAGCCAUGCCGCGUGUGUGAAGAAGGCCUUCGGGUUGUAAAGCACUUUAAGCGGGGAGGAAGGUUCGCCACCUAAUACGUGGCGGAAUUGACGUUACCCGCAGAAUAAGCACCGGCUAACUCUGUGCCAGCAGCCGCGGUAAUACAGAGGGUGCAAGCGUUAAUCGGAAUUACUGGGCGUAAAGCGCGCGUAGGCGGUUGUGUAAGUUGGAUGUGAAAGCCCCGGGCUUAACCUGGGAACUGCAUUCAAAACUGCACGGCUAGAGUACGGGAGAGGGGGGUAGAAUUCCAGGUGUAGCGGUGAAAUGCGUAGAGAUCUGGAGGAAUACCGAUGGCGAAGGCAGCCCCCUGGCCUGAUACUGACGCUGAGGUGCGAAAGCAUGGGGAGCAAACAGGAUUAGAUACCCCGGUAGC